AUACGGAGGAUCCGGGCGUUAUCCGGAUUUAUGGGUUUAAAGGGAGCGUAGGCGGGAUAUCAAAUCAGCUGUGAAAUGUAGAUGCUCAACAUCUGCACUGCAGUUGAAACUGGUGUUCUUGAGUGAGUAGAGGUAGGCGGAAUUCCUAGUGUAGCGGUGAAAUGCGUAAAUAUUAGGAGGAACACCAGUGGCGAAGGCGGCCUACUGGGCUUUAACUGACGCUGAGGCUCGAAAGCGUGGGUAGC
rnacentral:rRNA from 1 species